AAGUCGUAACAAGGUUUCCGUAGGUGAACCUGCGGAAGGAUCAUUAUCGAAUAAACUGGCAUGGUUGUAGCUGGCUCUUAGGAGCAUGUGCACACCUGUCAACUUUAUCUUUCCACCUGUGCACCCUUUGUAGUCCCAGGAUAACCUCUCGCGCACUUUUGUGUUGCGGAUGCGAAGGUUGUCGUGCCUCUCAGGCCGGCUUCCAUCGAACUUCCUGGGUCUAUGUCUCUUAUACACCCCCUGUAUGUUAAAAAAUGAAUGUUGAUUUCAAAUGGCUUCGGCCUAUAGAAACUCAAUACAA
rnacentral:misc_RNA from 1 species